rnacentral:rRNA from 1 species
CAGUCGCCGCGGGAAUACGUAGGGUGCAAGCGUUAAUCGGAAUUACUGGGCGUAAAGCGUGCGUAGGCGGCUUCUUAAGUCGGAUGUGAAAUCCCUGAGCUUAACUUAGGAAUUGCAUUCGAUACUGGGAAGCUAGAGUAUGGGAGAGGAUGGUAGAAUUCCAGGUGUAGCGGUGAAAUGCGUAGAGAUCUGGAGGAAUACCGAUGGCGAAGGCAGCCAUCUGGCCUAAUACUGACGCUGAGGUACGAAAGCAUGGGGAGCAAACAGGAUUAGAUACCCGUGUAGUCCCUGUCUCUUAUAC